AGCAGUGUGUUUUUGUGUAAGGGAUAGAAAGCAGUGAGUGUUUGUGUAUAAGGGAUGUAUUGUGUGUUUCUUGUUGUGUGUAAGGGAUGCAUUGUGUGAAUCUGUGUUUGUAUGCAUAAGGGAUACAAAGUGUGUUUCUGUGUAUGUAAGGGAUGCAGUGUGUGUGUCUGUAAGGGGUGCGUUGAGUGUGUGUAAGAGAUGCAUUGUGUUUCUGUGUGUGUGUGUGUGUGUGUAAGAGAAGCAGUGUGUGUUUGCAUGUGUGUGUAAGGAAUGCAUUGUGUGUUUCUGUGUAUAUG